rnacentral:tRNA from 2 species
GCCGUCAUAGCUCAGUUGGUAGAGCGCAUCCAUGGUAAGGAUGAGGUCUCCAGUUCAAUUCUGGAUGACGGCUCCA